rnacentral:rRNA from 1 species
UACGAAGGGGGCUAGCGUUGUUCGGAAUUACUGGGCGUAAAGCGCACGUAGGCGGCUUUGUAAGUUAGAGGUGAAAGCCCGGGGCUCAACUCCGGAAUUGCCUUUAAGACUGCAUCGCUAGAAUUGUGGAGAGGUAAGUGGAAUUCCGAGUGUAGAGGUGGAAUUCGUAGAUAUUAGGAAGAACACCAGUGGCGAAGGCGGCUCACUGGUCCGGUACUGACGCUGAGGUGCGAAAGCGUGGGGAGCAAACAGG